AGCCCUAGCUCAAGGAUAGAGCAUCUGCUCUGCAUGCAGAAAGUCUUGGGUUCAAUUCCUGGCAUCUCUA